ACGAACGCUGGCGGCAUGCCUAACACAUGCAAGUCGAACGAGACCUUCGGGUCUAGUGGCGCACGGGUGCGUAACGCGUGGGAAUCUGCCCUUGGGUUCGGAAUAACUCGCCGAAAGGCGUGCUAAUACCGGAUGAUGUCGUAAGACCAAAGAUUUAUCGCCCAGGGAUGAGCCCGCGUAAGAUUAGCUAGUUGGUGAGGUAAAGGCUCACCAAGGCGACGAUCUUUAGCUGGUCUGAGAGGAUGAUCAGCCACACUGGGACUGAGACACGGCCCAGACUCCUACGGGAGGCAGCAGUGGGGAAUAUUGGACAAUGGGCGAAAGCCUGAUCCAGCAAUGCCGCGUGAGUGAUGAAGGCCUUAGGGUUGUAAAGCUCUUUUACCCGGGAUGAUAAUGACAGUACCGGGAGAAUAAGCUCCGGCUAACUCCGUGCCAGCAGCCGCGGUAAUACGGAGGGAGCUAGCGUUGUUCGGAAUUACUGGGCGUAAAGCGCACGUAGGCGGCUUUGUAAGUCAGAGGUGAAAGCCUGGAGCUCAACUCCAGAACUGCCUUUGAGACUGCAUCGCUUGAAUCCAGGAGAGGUGAGUGGAAUUCCGAG
rnacentral:rRNA from 1 species